rnacentral:rRNA from 1 species
AGCAGCCGCGGUAAUUCCAGCUCCAAUAGCGUAUAUUAAAGUUGUUGCAGUUAAAAAGCUCGUAGUUGAAUUUUGGAUUCUGCCAAUUGGUCCAUCUUUUAGAUGAGUACUGGUUGUGUGGGGUCUAUCCGCCUGGUGAUACGUAAUGUCCUUUAUUGGAUGUUGCGGGUAGUCAGGACCUUUACCUUGAAAAAAUUAGAGUGUUUAAAGCAGGCUUAUGCCGGAAUACAUUAGCAUGGAAUAAUAGAAUAGGACGAAGUUGUUUUAUUUUGUUGGUUUCUAGGACAACCGUAAUGAUUAAUAGGGAUAGUUGGGGGCAUUAGUAUUCAAUUGUCAGAGGUGAAAUUCUUGGAUUUAUUGAAGACUAACUACUGCGAAAGCAUUUGCCAAGGAUGUUUUCAUUAAUCAAGAACGAAAGUUAGGGGAUCGAAGACGAUCAGAUACCGUCGUAGUCUUAACCAUAAACUAUGCCGACUAGGGAUCGGGCAUGUUGUUUCCAUGACUCGCUCGGCACCUUAUA